rnacentral:rRNA from 1 species
UGGGGAAUCUUGCGCAAUGGGCGAAAGCCUGACGCAGCCAUGCCGCGUGGAUGAUGAAGGUCUUAGGAUUGUAAAAUCCUUUCACCGGUGAAGAUAAUGACUGUAGCCGGAGAAGAAGCCCCGGCUAACUUCGUGCCAGCAGCCGCGGUAAUACGAAGGGGGCUAGCGUUGCUCGGAUUUACUGGGCGUAAAGGGCGCGUAGGCGGACAUUUAAGUCAGGGGUGAAAUCCCGGGGCUCAACCUCGGAACUGCCUUUGAUACUGGGUGUCUUGAGUAUGAGAGAGGUGUGUGGAACUCCGAGUGUAGAGGUGAAAUUCGUAGAUAUUCGGAAGAACACCAGUGGCGAAGGCGACACACUGGCUCAUUACUGACGCUGAGGCGCGAAAGCGUGGGGAGCAAACA